CAUUUCCUCAUCAUUAGCUAUGCUUUGUCCUUUCUUUAUGAAAGAGAUUCUGUCACAGGAAUUUUGAUACACUUUAACGUGGGAGUAAAUAAACUAAAAUCGUAAUACAAUACAAUAGACUAAAAUAAUAAUAAUAAUAAGCAGAUAAAAACACUGGCAGCAUCUUUUCAAAGAGGAACAGAUAUACGCAUAGCAAUCACACAAGCAGAUACACAAUAUACGCGGUUAAAUCUAAAUACAAAUAUGUUAGAUAUAUACAUCAGAAUAACCAGAAUAACCAAACAAUAGAAAGAUGUAAGACAAAACCAUUACACGGAAAACGUAUAAAUAUCGCGAUAAUAUAAACGCUGAGUUGACAUAUCCAUGGCUCGAAGAAGGAGAUUUGUAACCAGAAAUUUCAGGAUUUAUGAUAGCCAUCUGAGACCAAGUUAUUAAGUUACCAGGAAUUACAGAAAAUACAUAUUGGAAGGAGGAAUUGAAGAUGAUAAAUGUAACAAAUGACAGCUUGUUACUAAGUUACCAGGAAUCACAGAAAAUACAUAUUGAAAGAAGAAAUCGAAGAUGAUAAAUACAGCAAAUAACAGUUCACGCCCGAAACCAUGAAACGCAACACAUUAUACACAAACAGACAUAAGCAAGCAAUAGGAAUCAUUCACAAAAUCAUACAAAAGUACAAAUUCACAAUAGAAAAGUAAUCAUACUAUACAUACAGACUAUAAACAGUAUUAGAGAACGACGACGUAAAGAUAUAUUGGCAUAGAACAAUACAGAUAAAUUAUACAAUAACAAACAACGAAACUAAUAGGUAAAAAGAAUACCUAAGACAACUAACCUAGAAUGACAUACGUAAUAGAAAUUAGCAACUCCAAUGGCAACAGCAUAACAAAGAAAUACCAAGAGAAAAUAGGAAGAUCUAUGCCAUUAGUCAUACGACACCAAACAAUUGUGAAAAUUUCACUAAUAAUCGUAUCAGUAGCCGGAAUAACAUCCAAAUGUUUUCAUAAAAAUAUACAAGAAUUAGACCUGAACAUAAACAUCCAUACAUGCAUACAAAAAUCAGUUCUUUUAAUAGCUACAAAUAUAACACAAUCAUUUUUACCGUUAAAUUCGUCAAUAUAGACAGACUUGGCAUCAUGCCCAUAUACGUGCAUACAUAAUACCCGUACUGAUGAAUAUAUGGAUAAUAAUAAUAUUUUACUGUACACCAGACUUUAUGUCUGUUACAAGAAGAUCUUUGCUGGUGAAAGAAAUGAGCUGGUUUAUUUAAAUAUACUUUUUCUUAUCUUAGCGACGGUUAUUCUACAUACAUUCUAAAUACAUUUAUUUAUUACAAUAUACAUUGGACAUAAAUAUAGUAUACAUAAUGAUGACAUAAUAUGCAUAUGCGUGAACUUAAACUAUAAUAUUAAUAUACUAUAAUAUCAAAAUAUUUAACUACACUUGUAAUAUUGUGCAGUGUUUAUUCCUUAAUGCUAAAUAAACUGAAAUAUUAAGUAAAGUAUAGAUACUAUAAAACGAAAUAUUAUAUUAUAUUCGCGCAAUUUUUUCUAACAGUCUAAGUCAUUCACAAAUUUAUUUUAUUUUAAUCAUUCUAGGAAAUUUUGUAAAAAACGUGGGUUGACCAAUUACCACUGUGGCGAUCAAUUAUGUUUUGACAAAUGUUUAUACAUGAUAUAUUAUGUGCUGUACGUAAUAUUUUACAUAAUUGUAGAAUGACAUAUAUUAUACAUUGUGUACUUUUUGGAAUGAAGUAUAGUUUAGAAGAUACAUAUUUACGUGGAUCGAUUAAAUGAGACACACUUUGUACACUAUGUACAUAGAUACACUUUAUAUCAUUUGUAAUCACUUGAUUAAACAAUAUUCUUUUUAUAGGAAAAUCUUGUACAAGAUCGUAUAAUGAAAGUUGCAAAUUAAUAAUAUUUUGUAAAACGAAUUGCAUAAUCAAAACAAUAUUUAAAUGUUUAAAUGUUCAUGAUCAAAAAAGGAUGACAAAAGUUUAAUAUAAAAAUUUAACGAAAUAUUCAAUUUAACAAUAAGACAAAAUCUUUUCUUUUGUAGAUAAUCUCUGAUAAACAUCUGAUCUAAAUAUUUAAUCAAAAGAAUAAUGAGUUUAAGAUAAAUAAAACGUUGUUAUUGUGGGGAUUAAAGAAAGAGAGAGAGAUGUAGGGAGAAUGAUAAGGAAAAAAGAGAGUUUCGUCCUCGGUCCGCUACUAGACUCGUCAAUUAAUAACUUAGUCGUUUGGAAGUUGUGCUUGUAGGAAGUGCUUAGAGUGGGAACACUAGUGGGAAAGUUUCACGUGUCGCACUACAGUAGGUUAAGUGGAAAGGUUAAGUCACAUAUCUACAACGUCAUUGCUACCAGAUAGUACGAAAAUAGCUUAUCUAUAUGCAUAUUAAAUAAGGAAGCCGUUUCUGUAUUGAGACUGAAAAUAUAACAGUUUAUAUUUCGGAAGUCAUUUUUCUCAAAACUUCUUGACUCUUGACCAGAAACGUUCAUCUAAAUCAACACGGCGGCGCAGAUCUCUGGUGGCAGGGCGGAGAAGCUUCCUGCAAUUGUUUCUAUAAACUUACUACUCAAAACAUCACAGUCGAGAUGAAAUAAAUAAAACCACGCUACUAUUGGUAGCUUCUACGACAGUAUACUCGAAACCUGCACCGGAACCACCUAGCUCGUACUUCCCUCCAUCGAGCGGUGCUAGUCUCUCAAGCGGUAGUUAUGGUCCCCCAGACCGCUAUG